GAUGAAGAACGUAGUGAAAUGCGAUAAGUAGUGUGAAUUGCAGAAUUCAGUGAAUCAUCGAAUCUUUGAACGCACAUUGCGCCCUUUGGUAUUCCAAAGGGCAUGCCUGUUCGAGCGUCAUUUGUACCCUCAAGCUCUGCUUGGUGUUGGGUGUUUGUUCCGCCUCUGUGUGUGAACUCGCCUCAAAACAAUUGGCAGCCGGCGUACUUGUUUCGGAGCGCAGCACAUUUUGCGAUCCAGAUCAACGUACAGCGGCAUCCAAGAAGCCUUAUUUAACGCUCUUGACCUCGGAUCAGGUAGGGAUACCCGCUGAACUUAAGCAUAUCAAUAAGCGGAGGA
rnacentral:misc_RNA from 1 species